GAUAGUACAUAUCUGUGCGGGGCUGUCCCAUCUGGCCUGGUUUUACUCUUGUGGUAUGAGCCUCUUCAAAAGUUCAUGCAUCUAAAGCAACUCGCCAUCAGACUCCCAGAUUCUCUUCUCAGCUGUGUGUUGGAGUGAGAGACUGUAGUAAUGAUAAACCACCAACCGGCCAACAGCUCAGGUUUGAUAUUAUAGAGCUGAACGGCGCUCCUGUUCCAGUGCCAGGAGAUAGUGGAGCACUCAGAGUCGUGCAGGUAACCCAGCUGGACCGAGACACUGUUCUCAUCACCUUGGAAAGAACUGUAAAGAUCGUGAACCUGCAAGGACUUCCAUCCAGACAGCUGGCUGCAGAAAUAGUCUUUGACUUCCCCAUUGAAACACUAGUCUGCUUGCAGGAUAGUGUGCUGGCAUUCUGGAAGCAUGGCCUCA